rnacentral:rRNA from 1 species
CCGGUAAACGGCGGCCGUAACUAUAACGGUCCUAAGGUAGCGAAAUUCCUUGUCGGGUAAGUUCCGACCUGCACGAAUGGCGUAAUGAUGGCCAGGCUGUCUCCACCCGAGACUCAGUGAAAUUGAACUCGCUGUGAAGAUGCAGUGUACCCGCGGCAAGACGGAAAGACCCCGUGAACCUUUACUAUAGCUUGACACUGAACAUUGAGCCUUGAUGUGUAGGAUAGGUGGGAGGCUUUGAAGUGUGGACGCCAGUCUGCAUGGAGCCGACCUUGAAAUACCACCCUUUAAUGUUUGAUGUUCUAACGUUGACCCGUAAUCCGGGUUGCGGACAGUGUCUGGUGGGUAGUUUGACUGGGGCGGUCUCCUCCUAAAGAGUAACGGAGGAGCACGAAGGUUGGCUAAUCCUGGUCGGACAUCAGGAGGUUAGUGCAAUGGCAUAAGCCAGCUUGACUGCGAGCGUGACGGCGCGAGCAGGUGCGAAAGCAGGUCAUAGUGAUCCGGUGGUUCUGAAUGGAAGGGCCAUCGCUCAACGGAUAAAAGGUACUCCGGGGAUAACAGGCUGAUACCGCCCAAGAGUUCAUAUCGACGGCGGUGUUUGGCACCUCGAUGUCGGCUCAUCACAUCCUGGGGCUGAAGUAGGUCCCAAGGGUAUGGCUGUUCGCCAUUUAAAGUGGUACGCGAGCUGGGUUUAGAACGUCGUGAGACAGUUCGGUCCCUAUCUGCCGUGGGCGCUGGAGAACUGAGGGGGGCUGCUCCUAGUACGAGAGGACCGGAGUGGACGCAUCACUGGUGUUCGGGUUGUCAUGCCAAUGGCACUGCCCGGUAGCUAAAUGCGGAAGAGAUAAG